rnacentral:rRNA from 1 species
UACGUAGGGGGCAAGCGUUGUCCGGAAUCAUUGGGCGUAAAGCGCGUGUAGGCGGUUCGGUAAGUCUGCUGUGAAAGUCCAGGGCUCAACCCUGGGAUGCCGGUGGAUACUGUCGGACUAGAGUACGGGAGAGGCGAGUGGAAUUCCCGGUGUAGCGGUGAAAUGCGCAGAUAUCGGGAGGAACACCAAUUGCGAAGGCAGCUCGCUGGGACGUUACUGACGCUGAGACGCGAAAGCGUGGGGAGCAAACAGG